GACGAACGCUGGCGGCGUGCCUAAUACAUGCAAGUAGAACGCUGAAGAGAGGAGCUUGCUCUUCUUGGAUGAGUUGCGAACGGGUGAGUAACGCGUAGGUAACCUGCCUUGUAGCGGGGGAUAACUAUUGGAAACGAUAGCUAAUACCGCAUAACAAUGGAUGACACAUGUCAUUUAUUUGAAAGGGGCAAUUGCUCCACUACAAGAUGGACCUGCGUUGUAUUAGCUAGUAGGUGAGGUAAUGGCUCACCUAGGCGACGAUACAUAGCCGACCUGAGAGGGUGAUCGGCCACACUGGGACUGAGACACGGCCCAGACUCCUACGGGAGGCAGCAGUAGCGAAUCUUCGGCAAUGGGGGCAACCCUGACCGAGCAACGCCGCGUGAGUGAAGAAGGUUUUCGGAUCGUAAAGCUCUGUUGUAAGUCGAGAACGGGUGUGAGAGUGGAAAGUUCACACUGUGACGGUAGCUUACCAGAAAGGGACGGCUAACUACGUG
rnacentral:rRNA from 1 species